rnacentral:rRNA from 1 species
AUACGUAGGGAGCAAGCGUUGUCCGGAUUUACUGGGUGUAAAGGGUGCGUAGGCGGUUCUGCAAGUCAGUUGUGAAAACUAUGGGCUUAACCCAUAGCCUGCAAUUGAAACUGUGGGACUUGAGUGAAGUAGAGGUAGGUGGAAUUCCCGGUGUAGCGGUGAAAUGCGUAGAGAUCGGGAGGAACACCAGUGGCGAAGGCGGCCUACUGGGCUUCAACUGACGCUGAGGCACGAAAGCAUGGGUAGCAAACAGGAUUAGAUACCCUGGUAGUCCAUGCCGUAAACGAUGAUUACUAGGUGUGGGGGGUCUGACCCCUUCCGUGCCGGAGUUAACACAAUAAGUAAUCCACCUGGGGAGUACGACCGCAAGGUUGAA